rnacentral:rRNA from 1 species
UACGAAGGGGGCUAGCGUUGUUCGGAUUUACUGGGCGUAAAGCGCACGUAGGCGGAUCGUUAAGUCGGGGGUGAAAUCCUGGAGCUCAACUCCAGAACUGCCUUCGAUACUGGCGAUCUUGAGUCCGGAAGAGGUGAGUGGAACUCCUAGUGUAGAGGUGGAAUUCGUAGAUAUUAGGAAGAACACCAGUGGCGAAGGCGGCUCACUGGUCCGGUACUGACGCUGAGGUGCAAAAGCGUGGGGAGCAAACAGG